rnacentral:lncRNA from 1 species
UGAGCUGUAUUUAGUACUGUUUCACACUUUACUCAGUAUUUUAUGGUUGUAAAGUUUUUUCACUUAUAUUAUCUCAUUUGAUCUCAAAGCCAUAACCCUAAGAGAAAGGAAUAUCCAUGAGUAUUACUUGAAGAGAUUAGUUAAAUGAAUCUAAGAAAGCUUCAAUAUCUUAUUCAAGUAGAGUAGCUAGUCUCAGAACACCAGAUCCAAUCACUGAUUACUUAGUGUAGAGAUAGUUCUUUUCUACCACAAAGCCAAGGUAAAAGGCAUCAUUUUGUUAUCUGUGAUAUGGGAGUAUAAAUAACCAAGAGAAAGGAUGACUGAAUCAGAUUUUUAUCUAUAUUGAUAUGGUCUAGAACUCAAAUGGAAGGACUUAAUUUGAACUCACUAUAAUUUGAUUUCACCAUCAGAUAAUUCAGUGUAGUAUUUUUCUUUUUAAAAUAAACUGGUUUUGCUUUUUUUUACAUCCCCAAUAUUUUUCUAAGUUUCCUUUCCUUUCUUUCUUCCCACAGAGCCAUUACAUAUAUUCAUAAUUACAUAUUUUCAAAGAAGAAAAAAGAAAAGAAAAAAUCAGCAAUAUUGAUGAAUACAUCAAAAAAGUUUGAAAUUUGUUAAAAAAUGGACAAAUGCAUAAAGGAAGCUCAUCUUCCUGUGUUUAAAUCUGGUCUCAGAUUCCUACUAGUUAUGUGACCUUGAACAAGUCACCUAACUAUAUUUUCUUCAGUUUUCUCCUUUGUAAAAUGAGCUGGAAAAGAAAAUUACAAACCACUCCAGGAUCUUUGCCAAGAAAACCCCAGAUGAGGUCACAAAGAGUCAGAUGUGACUGAAAAAGGCCUGAACAGCCAGUAUACUUGGAAAUCUUCCAUCUCUACAAGGGAGGAGGUUCAAGUCUUUCCAUGUCAACUAAAUCAACUGGGUCAUCAUUGUCUAUACCACAAUAAUAUUCAAUCCAAUAACAUUCUAUCUGAGAAGUUGUCCAUGAAAGUUCUUUCUCAGUUUUCUGCAUUCCCUCCAUUCUUGGCUAUACAGGUUUUAUUUAUACAAGAAGAUUUUAUUUUAAAAUAAUAAAAAUUAUCCUUUUUAGACUUCCACAAUGCUCUCCCUUCUAAUAUAAAGUCUGAUACUGCUGAAUCAACUACUUUUACUUCUUUUUUCUUGGUUUCCUUGAAGUUCCUGACCUUUUGCCCUUUCAAAUGAACUUUGUUAUUUUUUUUCUAACUCAGUAAAGUAAUUUUUAGUAAUUAAAUUGGGACAAUAUUGAAUAAAUAGAUUAGGUAAGUAAAAUUGUCAUUUAAAAAUUAUAUUGACUUUACCUACCCAUGAACAGUAAAUAUUAUUUCAAUUAUUUAAGUUUAUUAUUAUAAAAAAUGUUUUACGUUAAUAUUCAUAUAGUUCCUAUGAUUAUUUUGGUAGGUAUAUACUCAGUAUUUUAUACUGUCUGGUUAUUUUAAGAUCUAAAACAACAUUGAUUAAUAUUAUUGAUAUAUUUCUCUAUUUUUCACUUUUGGCUAAAUCUAUUUUAACUGUAACUUUGAGAUUGUAAUUACUUUGCCUGAUUUUUACACAAUAAAUUCUACUACUACCCUUUAUUUUUUCUUUUUGUGUAUCUCUCAUUUUAUAACAUUUCCUGAAAGCAACAUAUUAUUGA